AUUUAAUAUAUGCAUUAAUGCAGUUUAAGACUUGUGCAAUUUUUAUUACGGGAAAACAGGAGUGGAAAAGUCAACUUUCAUUUGGCCAUUUAUCAAUAGUGUGUAAAUGUAGAAAUUGUGCAACAGCUUGAAAUAUCAUAAAGAAGGUCUGCACAAGUCAAGACUAUUACCUACAAGCCCCAACCCAACACAACCAGCUAUAUGCAGCUACAGCUACACAACCAAGGAGCAGCCAUUUUGUGUGCCGAGGAUCGCUGUACAACUAGUGCAGUGUACGUGUGUGCUUUGUACAUGCAGCAAUAUAGCUAGUACGUGCACUGUGUUCACAGUUCAGCUUCAUGCCUCGUGUACAUCUCGGUGUUUUAGAUCUGUAAAAUCAUGCUGAAUUCUGUUUUUUCCCGGCUAAUCUACAACAGUAUGGAUAUAUACGCAACAUGACAAAUGAGUAGUUUCCAUAUCGACGUCGUUCUUUAUCAUCAUCUUGACCAAAACAUCAACGCCACUAUCACCAUUUCUUCAUCGUUAACCUCCGUUUUGGCGUUUGAACUUUAAGUUUGUUGCGAACUCUAAUAAUGAAUUUGGACAUUGGCAUUAUCGACUUUUGUUCUAUCUUUGAACACCAUCGACGUCGAACUUUGAUUGAAGGUAAGAACCUCCUCUUUACCUUCUUCGUCUCUACGAUUUGCGUUUCGUCGUUUGCAAGUCUGCAUGAUCCUGACUCCGGCUAAUGAUGAAUUUAUCGACUUUCGAUCUGUCUUCGAUCACCGUCGACGUCGGAACUCUACACCAAGUUUCACCAUCGCCAUACAUGGACUUCGCAUCCGAUCGACAUUGCAGACUCUUGGCUUUUAUUCAUCAUUCAUUUUUGAACUGUAUUAUGAUCUACCAUAGCAAGUAGGCCUAGCUACCAAUUGUUUCUUCAACCAAAAUCGAGUACGACAUCGUCGAAGAAUCUCGCACCUCCGCUGGAAGGACAGUUUGUAAAUUGUACUAUUGAAUAUGAGCGGCAGUCUUUCGCUAUAGAAAUAGACUAACCAAUUUACUUAUAAUAUUGCUGUGUGCUGAAAGUGUUUAGUGUCAUAUGCAAUGUAACAAGCGGCAGUCUUUCGCUAUAGAAAUAGACUUCAGUUUUCGACUGUAAAUUGUUUUAUAUAUUUUACGCGAGCUAGAUUUUAGCUCGUUUGAAUAAACGCCCUUUAAAAAAGUAAA
rnacentral:lncRNA from 1 species